rnacentral:rRNA from 1 species
ACUGGUGCGCGAGAUGAGUAUUCUCAGGCGCUUGAGAGAACUCGGGAGAAGGAACUCGGCAAAUUGACACCGUAACUUCGGAAGAAGGUGUGCCUUUAGUAGGUGAAGUCCCUCGCGGAUAGAGCCCAAUGAGGUUGCAAAGAAUCGGUGGCUGCGACUGUUUAAUAAAAACACAGCACUCUGCAAACACGAAAGUGGACGUAUAGGGUGUGACGCCUGCCCGGUGCUGGAAGAUUAAGUGAUGGGGUGCAAGCUCUUGAUCGAAGUCCCAGUAAACGGCGGCCGUAACUAUAACGGUCCUAAGGUAGCGAAAUUCCUUGUCGGGUAAGUUCCGACCUGCACGAAUGGCGUAACGAUGGCCACACUGUCUCCUCCCGAGACUCAGCGAAGUUGAAAUGUUUGUGAUGAUGCAAUCUCCCCGCGGAAAGACGGAAAGACCCCAUGAACCUUUACUGUAGCUUUGUAUUGGACUUUGAACGGAUCUGUGUAGGAUAGGUGGGAGGCUUUGAAGCCGGGUCGCUAGAUCUGGUGGAGCCAACGUUGAAAUACCACCCUGGUGCGUUUGAGGUUCUAACCUAGGCCCGUUAUCCGGGCCGGGGACAGUGCAUGGUAGGCAGUUUGACUGGGGCGGUCUCCUCCCAAAGCGUAACGGAGGAGUUCGAAGGUACGCUAGUUACGGUCGGACAUCGUGACGAUAGUGCAAUGGCAUAAGCGUGCUUAACUGCGAGACUGACAAGUCGAGCAGAUGCGAAAGCAGGACAUAGUGAUCCGGUGGUUCUGUAUGGAAGGGCCAUCGCUCAACGGAUAAAAGGUACUCUGGGGAUAACAGGCUGAUACCGCCCAAGAGUUCAUAUCGACGGCGGUGUUUGGCACCUCGAUGUCGGCUCAUCUCAUCCUGGGGCUGUAGCCGGUCCCAAGGGUAUGGCUUUUCGCCAUUUAAAGAGGUACGUGAGCUGGGUUUAAAACGUCGUGAGACAGUUUGGUCCCUAUCUUCCGUGGGCGCUGCAGAUUUGAGGAAGCCUGCUCCUAGUACGAGAGGACCGGAGUGGACGCACCUCUGGUGUACCUGUUGUCGCGCCAGUGGCAUUGCAGGGUAGCUAAGUGCGGAAGAGAUAACCGCUGAAAGCAUCUAAGCGGGAAACUCGUUUCAAGAUGAGAUCUGCCGGGGCCUUGAGCCCCCUGAAGAGUCGUUCUAGACCAGGACGUUGAUAGGUCAGGUGUGGAAGCGCAGUAAUGCGUUAAGCUAACUGAUACUAAUUGCUCGUGCGGCUUGACCGA